ensembl:lncRNA
CUGACAGUGAAAUGCCUGUGAAUUUAGUUUUACCUUCUGGAAGGUAGUUAGAUUUUCUUCAGCACCCAGUAUACAGAUUGUGGAAGCUAAAAUAUAAAAGGUACAACAUUUACCCAUUUGAAUUUUUACUUCCAGUGUAAUGAAGUUAAUGGUAAAAAGGAAUAAUUUCUCAAAAGGUCUCUGCUGACUUCUGCAAGCACAUGAAGUAUCAAAAGCAGAAGAGUAUCUUUGUUCAUAGCUGUUCCUCUCUCUAACCAAGAAGAACAAAAAGGGGUUUUUUGGGUUUUUUUUUAAUUACAACUUGAAAUCAGAAUACACUCUUCCAGGCUGUGAUAAAUGUUUGCCCUCACUUGCCACUUGCACAGAACUGAUGAAGUUCCCCAGGGCUUUGAAUCUACCAGUCUGUUAAGCCUAAAAUACAUCUGUAAGUACUUUCAGUUUUUUUAAUAAUUUCAACCAACAAACCCUUCAUGCAGGAGACCUUCAGUCAUGACUUGCUAUAAAAUGUUAUUUUGCUUUAUAUUGGAGAAAAAAAAGUUAACAUGGGCUGAGACACUGUUAAAUUUCUGGACAGCUCAUGGCCACUGUUCUAAUACUGUUCCUGAAUUUAGGUAAUGUUUUGUAAAUUACACAUUGGGCAACAAAGAAGUUACAUUCCUACAAUAAAUACUCAUAGAAGUUUGAUCUUUUACCCAUUCUGAGACACAAAAUAAGCUGCAGGAAAAAUGCAGAUUUUUUUUUUUUUUCCUAAGGACUAAGUGCAGUAAACACAUACUGAGUUCUACUUUCCAGUACGCUUUUGAGCCCCGAAUCUCUUUAGAUUUAUCUUAAUUAAAUCCAACAUUAAAUAAAGCCCAUUCGUUUAUUUUUCUGGUGCAUGGCAUGAAGAAAAGUAAUAGAAGAUGAAAUUAGGUGCAUUGCAAGGCUGAAGCUUAAUUGCAGAUUCAGGGGGACCUGAUGAGCAGAGUAUCAGCAAGGCUGAGCAGCUAUCUCUUCAUGAUAGGACAUCACUGUGCCCUUCUCUGAAUGAGGCCCCAUUAGUGUUAAGAGUGAAAAUUAACUGUUCCAUGAAGUUUUCAUGUGCAAGUUUUAGAAAGCCUUCCCCAAGUGUACUGUUUCUGAAAUAACAUCUGGGUCUAUAUGUGCAACUCAGAGGUUAUGUAAGCAAAUUAAUGUUAUGCCACAGUGACCAUGGUAACAUUUAGCAGAGGGAAACCCCGUAAAUAGCAGAAGUAAAAAAUUACUUGCAAUAACUCAUUGAACAAAUCAGUAGAAAAUCGGGUUAUUUUCACUUGGUUUGUUCUCUCAGCUUUCAUAUGCCUCAUAAUCGCUGUAUGUUUUAAUUGUCCUCCCCUCAUACACAAACCUUCCCAUCUCCAAAUAUCAAGAAAGGGGGGCAAUCCUGUCACUUAAUGAUUUACUGUUGCUGGUGUAGCCUUUCCAACACAGGCAUCUUAGUAUUCCUGCCACUUUAAUAUCUUUGUGAGGUCCAGAAUACCUAUAAAAAGCUGAUUUUCAGUGGUGAAGGAGUUUCCGAUUUCUUUAUGAAGACAGUAGAGUUAUCUUUGUGUGUGUUGCAGUGGCAGAGUAAAUGCUGUAAAACCAGGCUUGAAAUCAAUUCAGAUCCUGUCCUGUUUCAGCUGUCAGAUGAUGAACCUGUCGAGUGGCUCAGCCUGGUCCCUCUGGAUGGAGUAUUAGGAAUAUGCACACUCCAGCAAAGUACAUGUAAGAGCAAUGCUUUGUUGAUUCAGUUAAAUGAAAUCCCCCAAACACCGAAAUUAUACAUACCAAAAUAAAACCCACGCAAAAGCAUUAAAAAAAAAGCCAAAACAGUCCUAUUACUUGGGAGGCUGCAGGGGGCUGCAGAAGCCAUCAGUAGCUGAAAGGAGUCAAUAGGGCUAGCUAAAGCCAGCUGAAGUGACUGAACCUAGUGAGGCUGGGCAUUCACCCGGGCUCUGAAGAUCUGGGCUGCACACAUGCAGGGAGGAGGCAGGAGUGAAGGUUGUCUGCAAACAGGACUUGUCCCCCACAGGGUUUGGUUUCUGCCUCUGCUCGGCAUGGUCCUGUGGUGUAUCUUAGCAAUGCCUGAGGUUUUGAUGGUGCCUGUUGAUGCUGAGAGCAGGGCUACUGCCCAGGGCAGAGGUGUGGGGAGCAGCAGCCCUGGGAGCCCUGGCAGUGCUGCUCAAGGGUUUCCUCACCCAGGGGAAUUCCCAGUCAAGCUGUGCACACAGCUCUGCAAAAUGCUUCCUGCAACACUCCUGCUGACCCAAGGGGUCAGCCCUGGAUUUCUCCAUAUAGAGACCCAAGGAUCAGUGUCUUUUUAGCAUGUGUCACAACAGAAUGUCAGGGAGUGUGGUUUUGCUGCCAGCCCCUUGUAGACCCUUCUUCAAGUCUCAUGCAAAUAUAUUUUCUGAGUUCUUGCUUUCCACACAUCUCUGAGGUCUUGGCCUGCCACUUUGCAAAGUUCCAAAACCAGAGCAAGUUUCAAGAUGCUUCCCCAGCAGCUUUACUAAAAACCCAAAACAUGGCUCUGGGUUUCUGUGUUCUCACACUGUUGAGGAAAAAAUAUGCUGUUGGAGGCAGUCUGGGUUUGAUGACAGCACAAUUCUUCCUCUCUGUGAGCCUUUGCUCGUUCUCUUCCUUUUUUUCAAGAUCGUGCUUCAACCUUCUUGUGAAACCCCUGUGGUUUAUCAGAGGAGUGCAGUGGCAGCAGCAGAACUUUAGCACUGUAAAUAUGAGUACAGGGGCUCACAGAACACUUUCAGUGUUUUGGAACUAAUGAAAUGCCUUUCCCCAGGAUUGUAUCCUAAAAUCUGGCCAAAGAAUGGACAAAAUCUGGCCAAAGAGUGGAUAUGCCUCUGCAUAGUCAUCCCAGGUUGCUGCAGAUUGAACAAACUUGUAUUACAACAAUGCACUACUACCUAGACCUCUGGGGGGGUCUUUCACAUUGUUGCAGUGUCAGAUACAGUGAUGGUAACAGUGGCAAGAGCUUUGGUGAAAGGCAGCAUUGUGAUCUGACAGCAAAACCUGUCCUAAGGUAUUCAUUAAAUUGUUCCAGGCGCUGGGACAGCCUAUGAUUAUGUUGAACAGGGGAGCAAAUUGUACGCUCUGCUUUCCUGGUAUGCACUAACUUAAUCUGAAAGUCUGCCUGGGAAGGUUAAACACAGACAGCUUUGUUUAGGGGAACUUCAAACUGGCAGAGUCCAUCGCCCCAGAGGGUCACCUGUGGGGGACUGCGUGUGCCAAACAUCUGUGCUGCUGCAGGAAUGUUUUCUGUGGGUGCAGCUUGCAGCUGAGCUUGUCCAAGGGGUUCCCUCAGAUGUCAGAACAUUUGGAUGUUCCCAGCAGAUGCAAUGCUAUCUGUAGCUCAGGCUCUCUCUGUACUUCUGGAAAGUGGUGCCCAAAACAGAAGCUGGAGUUCCCCAGGAAGCAGCUGCGUGGGGAACUCUGGGCUCCUCCCGCAGGAGAAACCACGCUCCAGGAAGUGUUUAGUGUGGGGUUUUGACACGGAAAGGGCCGGUUCUCGCAACAAUCAUGAGUCUUGUGGGAGUUCUAGACCUUACACAGAAAUUACCCACCAGGGUAUUCAUUAACUCUGCCAGGAAGAGGUGCUGGUAGAGUCAGGUUUGAGAACAACCCUUGUGGUCACAUAAUGCUGAGUGGGACACCAGCAUGCAGGGGCUCCUGAUGGCUGAAAGAGUGAGCCAAGUGCUGGGAACAGGACAGAGCAAAGGGCCCACAGGGCCAUGCUCAGGCUGCAGAGCUGAAUGCCAUAGUGCCUGGGUUGUCGCUUCCACAAGACACACUGCUUUUGACCACUUUUUAUGACUUGGCUAAAUGGACAAAUUUUAUUCCUUUACUGGCAGUCUUUUGGGGUUUUUUUUUUGUUUUGUUUUGUUUUCUUUUUUUUUCCUGCAGCUUGUAAAGAGUAUUGUUUGAAAAAAAAAAUCUUAAUAUAAAAAUAAAUCUAUAGUACUUGCAUUAAAAAAAAAAGAAAAAAAAAAAA